rnacentral:rRNA from 2 species
UACGAAGGGGGCUAGCGUUGCUCGGAAUUACUGGGCGUAAAGCGCACGUAGGCGGUCUUUUAAGUCGGUGGUGAAAUCCUGGAGCUCAACUCCAGAACUGCCUUCGAUACUGGAAGACUUGAGUCCGGGAGAGGUGAGUGGAACUGCGAGUGUAGAGGUGAAAUUCGUAGAUAUUCGCAAGAACACCAGUGGCGAAGGCGGCUCACUGGCCCGGUACUGACGCUGAGGUGCGAAAGCGUGGGGAGCAAACAGG